CAUUUACAGCUAUCAAAUAAUAUUUGCUGUUAACCAUUAUAUUUAGGGUUUAACAUUUAAUAUAUAUGUGCUGACUGACGGUAAACACCAUCAAUCUACUGUCAAGAUGCCUUGCCUGUAAAAACUGACGAGUGAAAGCAGGGUUCUUUGAGUUGUAUCUCAUUUCUUUUUAAGCUUAAAAUUUUGUAAUGAAGUUGUAAUUGAUAUUUUCUUAUGCAAGAGAGUUCUGUAAGUGUUGAGGAAUGGUGGUAAUGACACUUCGCCAAAUGAGAGUGUGGAGGAUCCUAUUGACUUGCAAUGAGUCCAGCAAAAUGGGCAAAUUGAGUUGACAAGUGAAUGGCGGUGAAGAGGUGUUGGAUAAUGUUGCUGCUAAGUAUGGUUUCAAGGAACAAACCUAUACUAGAAGAAAGAUAUCUUGGUUUCAAGUUUGUCAUUCGUUGGGAGGAGGUACAGGAUCAGGAUCGAUACCAUAUGACCACAUGACUUGGAGUAUUCUGUUGGAGGCUUGAACCAUCUCUUUUGUGGAGUAACAUGCUGUCUUCGAUACCCUAAUCAACUUAACUCUGAUCUUCAGAAGCUAACUGUCAACCUGGUUCCCUUCCCUCGUCUCUACUACUUUAUGGUUGCUUUUGCACCUCGUACCUCUCUGGGGUCGCAGCAGUGCAGAAUCACAACAGUACCUGAACUUACUCAGCAAAUCUGUGAUGCCAAGA